AUUGAACGCUGGCGGCAGGCCUAACACAUGCAAGUCGAACGAGUGGCGGACGGGUGAGUUAUGUCUGGGAAAAUGCCCGAUGGAGGGGGAUAACUACUGGACACGGUCUCUAAUACCGCAUACCCUCGGAUGUGCACAGAUGGGAUUAGCUAGUAGGUGGGGUAACGGCUCACCUGGGCGAAGAGCCGUACCUGGUCUGAGAGGAUGAUCAGUCACACUGUAACGGAGACACGGUCCAGACUCCUACGGGAGGCAGCAGUGUGGAAUAUUGGACAAUGGGCGAAAGCCUGAUCCAGCCAUGCCGCGUGGGUGAAGAAGGUCUUCGGAUUGUAAAGCACUUUAAGGUGGGAGGCGUUACCAAAAGAAUAAGCACCGGCUAACUCCGUGCCAGCAGCCGCGGUAAUUC
rnacentral:rRNA from 1 species